GUCACAAGUCCCCAUGUCUGGUACACAUUCACCAUACUCUGCAUCAGAUUAAAAAAAAAAGUUAAUUCUGAGAAUGUUUACCCAUGUCUUCAUGUAUGUGUGCAAUAGUGAUCUCAUAUAUAACUUGAGAAAAUGUAAUUCUCCCCCAUUAGAAGAGCUUCUGCAAACUAGGAAAAAAAUUACAGGCAGAAGUGCAAGUAUCAAACUCUGCUGAUUUGUAACAUAUAUUUUAAUUACAUUAAAUUAUAUUAAUUCUACACACAGAACAGCUUCUACACAUGAAUUGUAGGCUGUCAUGCACUUCCAUGUGGCACCUUUUUAAGGAGAAAAAAAAAGUUGAAUAGCUGUCACUGCAUAAGUCUUUAUAUAGUUCUUUAUUCUCAGUGACACCAAAGUAUCUCAGACACUGAAAAUUUCACAACACUGGCGAGUUCACGAACCAUGAUAUCACACGCACCAGCAGUAAGUUCACGCUCACAUAUAAUUAGCUGAGGUAUGGUAUUCGUAUUUGGCAUGCUGUCCGGGGAAGUGCUCAGAGCUCAGGAAGGGCCCAAACCUAGAGUACCCCCCCCAAAAGCAAAUGGACAAGAGGACAGCUGCCAGAUUUGGAACAUGUGGCCAGGAGGCUUUCAUCAGCAUCCAACAGGAACUUUGUGCUCGCUUAUAAACCGUCAAUGGAUAGAGGUAAGUCAGCGAUAUUUGUACUGUGGGAUUGAUUACUAGAUUGUGGUCCACCUAUGUUGAUUAGGCUAAGUAUCUGAUGUGCUCCUCACGAAUCUUGUUACAAGAACAUCAUUUAAUUGGCAGUUUCGAUCUAGAAAAAGAUGAGAAUUUCACAAUUUCACUUUUAUGCACUUUUAACAAAAUACCUUCCAAACGCUAUACAAAGUACACAGGGAGAGAGAGUAAAAUGGCCUGCCUCUAGUUAAAAAAUAUAAAAUGUGUCACUUCAGGCCCCAAAUGCUAAAGGAGGGCUGAAUCUCCCAAAUUUUUGAAUUUAUUAUCUAGCAUCACAGUUCCGACAAUUGUGGAUAUGGAUGCAUCUAAAAAACAGUGAUGUGAGAUGGGUCUCAAUAGAGCAGCAUGAAAUGAAAACUACCCCAGUAAAGAUAUUCCAUUUCUGGGCACAAGGAAGGAACUUUCUGUGAUUGCGAAAAAACCCUGUUCUCCUGAACACCUUUGAUGCAUGGCAGGAAUCACAUAGACUCUUGGGUUUAAACGUCAUAACUUUUAAACACUCCUCUUGAUGGAAAUCCUAAUAUCCCAAGUGCCAAUUUUUGACAAAACUAUACAAAGCUGGAUUAAGAAAUGAAUUUAAACAAUUGGUGAUCUUUAUGUAAAUGGAAUAUUUACUAGCUUCCUUCAGAUAUCUGAAUUAUUUAACUUGCCUUAAAGGAUAACCUUUUUAAGUACUUACAAAUAAGACACUAUAUAAUAAGUCAAUCAUUGGAGUCAUUCCCUAAUAUAUCUGAAAAAUCCCUAUUUGAUGACAGACUGCUCAAUAUCAGACAUACCUCUACAAAGGGCUUAACAUCUUCUAUAUACAAAACUCUUAUAAGCAAUCUUCCAGCAUACCAAAGAUUUUCAACAAAGCAAAAAUGGGAAUCAGAUUUGGAGUGUUCUUAUGAUGUUAAUGAUUGGUGUACUCUUCUAGAAAAGUCACAAACAUUAUUGUGUAGCACACGGCUCGAUACUAGAUCCUACAAAAUAUAAACCAUGGACCAGAAACAGAAGAUUUUCGGAUCGACUCACAGAAGCAAUUAUUAGCAAAGAUGAUAGUAAAAAUUAAUAAAAUAAAUGAACCACUCGGAAUACUGGAAUGUAGCUAAUUAAAAGGUACAAGAAUAUGGGAUGGCUCGCCAGUCCAAACCAGGGAUAAGGAUCCACAGCCAGGACAGAAUUCAAGAUCACAGCAGCAAUUCAGAAGCUCACAAAAGAGAGAAAUAAAACAAGAACCACAAAAAAAA